CGGCAAGGAGGGACAGGGACAUGGUGCUGGCAGCUGGGCCCGGGUGAAAGGGCCAGCCAGCACAGGGAAGGGUCACAGGGGCAGAUCUGAGACCCCCCUGAAGGAAGAACUAAUUAUUUUGCCAGGCAGGGUCUGGAUGAGCCCCUGAGAGCCCAGCAGAGCCAAGGGCAGGCUCAUGGCACAGCUGCCUGUCCUGCUGGGCACUUCCAACAGGACACCCACUUAUCCCUGCCCGCCACCCCGCUGUCCCUACUGUCCCCCAGAAGCUACAGGGGCGUGCAGGAGGGUCCAGGACACCCAGGUAAGGUCAGUGAACGUGGCUGCACAGCUCAGGGCAGCACAGGGGCACAGCAGGAGUGGCCACAUGGCAGCUGGGGCUGUUGCCAUUCCCUGCCCAAGCCUUUGGCAUCACUCUCCCCGACUCAGCAUGUGCUGGGGAAGGUGACAGCAGUGGCAGCAGUGGCACAGUGACAGCAAGGAGGCAAUACCCCAGCCUCUGGGCAAGCAGGGCUGCACUCCAGCUGUCAACAACAGCAGUUAGACCCUCAAAGGGGACCCUGAUGUCCCAAUACCAUGCCAGGAGCAAAGCCCAGCUCUGGUGCUCCAGUAGCACUCCCAGCUCCUCCAGGAGUCACCCUCCAGCCCAUCAAGCCAAGGCUGAACUGGGCCAGCUCAUGUGGGCACACAGGCCCUACCUGGUGCCAUCACCCAGGAUUCCUGUGGACAUGUUCCCCUCACCAUGGGGACAUCCUCAGCAUCUCCACACAGGGCUGGCCCAGGGAAUGGAGAGUGGCCACAGCUCCCAGCCACAGGUCUGCUGGCCUGGAGCAUCAAUCAUCAGCUCAGGGCUGCCCUGCACAGGGUUAAACUGCUCCGUUAGCUUUCCCUCCAUGGGUGGAGCAGCGCUUUGUGACUAAUUUUCUCCAUUUCUGGCAUAUCAGAUACAGCUCUGGGGCAAAUCAAUUCAUCAAAGUUCCUCCUACCCCCAGCAUUGCCCUGCCAUGGCCCUGCCACAGUUUCACACCUCUGCUGGGAGCUGAGCCAUGAGACACCUGGAGCCUCUGGGGCAGGGGCAGAUGGGGCCAGGCAGCCCCUGGUUACAUCUCUUGGGGCAAAUAGGUGCCCCAGGAGGGAGCUCCUGUCCCUGUCCCGCUGCACUGUGGCUCUCCCACCUCCAAGUGUGAUUAAGGUGUGACCAGACUGCUACACCCAGGCUAAUGAGCCCCAAUUUUGGGGAGGGAUUAAUAGCUCCUAAGGCAAUCAGCCACUUUUGAGCUCACUUCCAGCCAUUCAGGAUGCCCCUGCUCACCCUUUCCCAUUCCAAGCUCCAGUUCUUCCUGCCCCCCAUCACCCACAGCCCCCCAGCUGGCUCAGGUCCCACAGCUCCUGGAAGCAAAACACUGCGGAGGCUGCUGGAGCUCAUCCUUAUCAACACCAGCUGAUAAGAGCGCCCUGCUGAGCAGGAAAAGUGAGAGCCAGGGGCCGGGCAACGCCUCGCAGGGAGCUGCUGGCACAGCAGAUACCAGGCAGCCCCACCAGCCAGUCUCCAAAGAGGGGCAGCUCCUGGGGGUCGCAGGGGACUCGUGGCAUGGUAUGACCACCCUUUGUCGUGCUUGGGGGGGUUUGUUCAAGGAGGUGGGGCCAAAGGAGCCACCAGAGGAGCCAGAGGGUGAAUUUUGUCCCUAAGCCAGGCCUGUGUGGAUGGAGGCACGGACACAGAGCUGAGCUGAGUCACCUUUCAGGGGAUCACGACUUUGUUAAUAUUUAUACCAAAGAGCCUCAGUGUGGCAUCACAGCAACUCCUUCCCAACAGCGAGACCCCAGCCCAGAGCACGAGGGGACAGUCCUCAGGGUGAUCACUGGCUCUAGGUGGGACCCCAGCAGCCCCCAGUCACCCACGAGCCCCACACAAGCCAAGGCUUUGCACAAGAAUUAAUGAGCAGAGCCAAGCCCAGCGACGUCGGAGGAUUCGCCCCCGCUGCGUUUAUCCCAGAGCCAGUCGGUCCUUGAGCACCGAGGCGAGCGCAGGGACCGGGGCACGUGGACCGGGGUGAUUCAGCAUCCGGCCACAGCCGUGAGCAGCGGGGCAGGGAUAAGAUGUUGAUGGCGGCCGCGUCGGUGAUGGAGCCACCAAAACCCUUCACCCUCUGGAAGCGCUGCGUCGUGUCCAGCCUGAGGACAACAUCUGCAGGGAGGGGAGCCCAGCAUGACGGCCCCACUGAGGCUCCGGGGGCGGCUGCGCUCCAGGCGGCGCGAGGACAGGAGCCGCCGCAGGGACGAGGUGGAGCUCAGGUCCCCGCAGCUCUGCAGGUGGAUUCCUUCGUGGGGCUGCUCUGCACCAGGCC